rnacentral:lncRNA from 1 species
GAGUGUGGGAUUUUUAGAGAGGAAACUAGCUAUUGGGAUUUGAAGAGUGGGAAAUGAAUAGUCUGUUGGAGGAAGCGACUCAAUAUGAAGAGGAAUCUUUUUGCCAAAUUGGAUAGAGAGUCAAAUGGAGAGUAAAAAAGGAUAGAAUGUUGGAGUUGCUCUAAGAGCAUCUCCAACAGACUACCUAUUUUUAGCUCUCUAUUUAACUCUCUAUUUGAAUUGGAAAAAAAAUUCAUCUCCAUACUCCAACGGACUAUCCAUUUCCCACUCUCCAAAUCUCAACGGCUAUUGGUAGACCCACCUCUAUAUAUAUAUACCAUUUAUAUAUUUUUCUUUUCUUUUUCUUUCUAUUUAUUUUUCUCUUUCCAUUCUUUUUUCUUUUCCUUCCUUGUUUCUUUUUCUUUCCACCGGCGAUACUCUUAUCUAGUCGAUGGCUCUCUGCGCUCUCUUAGCAUGUGUUUGGUUAUCGGGUCGAUCUGGGUUGGAACGGGUUCGACCUACAUCAACCCGUGUUUGGUUCAAAAGGUAUCUAGGUUGGGUCGGACCUAGGAGCGGAUAUUUGCUGGAGAUGUGGGUUCGUUGCGUUUCUCCAAAACCAACGGACCACGCUGACCCAGUCGAUGUGAUCACCCCCCCAACCCUAUCGUCAACCCUACCAUCCGUCGCCAGGCACAUCCUCCGUCGCCUCCCCUGCCAUCCGCCACCUCCACUACUAUCCGCCGCCUCCCCUCACCCAGUCACCCCUCUCUCCCGGGUGGAUCUCGCCCGACGCCCGUCCCCGGCCCUCCCGCCGCCUCCCCUCCCAUCCACCCACCUCCCCUCACCCGGUCACCCCUCUCUCCCGGCUGGAUCUCGCCCGAUGCUCGUCGCUGCCCCUCCCGUCCGCUGCCUUCCCUGCUCUCCACGGCACACCUUCCCUCCGUCGCACUUCUCCAUCGCCUCCUGUCGCACCGGAGGAAGGACAUCUUCAAGAUCUCAGCUGUGUUUUGCCAAGGUAAGGAAACCCUACCAUGCGUCUUUGGUAGAAAUUUGAACUCAUCUUGUUGGACCAUAGUUCUAGAUUGUCUUGUGGGAGUUGAAUGGAACAAACAAUCCAAUAGCAUCACAUAUUGCAGAACAUCUUAUUUCAUUGAAAGUGCACUGAGAAUCUUCAAUUCUCUGAUUAAUUGUAUGUCGUGUGCUCCUGGUUCAAUGGUCUCUAAGAACAGUGUUUCUUUCAUUCUUGUAUUGUAGAUGGAUAAGAGGACCAAGAUUGUAACUUAUGCUACUACUGCAUACAUGCUAUUGUCAAUGAUGGCCAUGAUUAUUCAGUCUAGAAAACGUAAAUGAUGUACAAAAAGGGUUGGUAUUACCUAUAGGCCUACAGAGGAAAGGGAUAGGAUGAGAGUAGAAUAUCUAAAUAACAAAAUUUGGAAGGAUGACACAACUUGCUUGAAUAUGUUAAGACUUAAUAGAGGCAAGUUCAUUCGGUUUUGCAAUAUUAUUAGAAAUCGUGGUUUGCUUAAAGAUAUAUGUAACUUGUGUGUUGAGCAACAGGUGGGUAUGUUUCUAAAUACAGUGGGACAUAACCUUAGGAAUAGGUUAGUUGGAACUAAUUUUGAUAGAUCGAGAGAAAUAGUUAGCCGCUAUUUCAACAAAGUACUCCAUGCUAUUGAUGAGCUGCGAGGGGAACUAAUUAGGACCCCGUCUUUGGACACUCCAAGCAAAAUUGCAGGGAACAACAGAUAGGAUCCUUACUUUAAG